CCUACGGGAGGCAGCAGUGAGGAAUAUUGGUCAAUGGGCGAGAGCCUGAACCAGCCAAGUCGCGUGAGGGAGUACUGCCCUAUGGGUUGUAAACCUCUUUUGUCGGGGAGCAAAAGCCGGACGUGUCCGGCUGUGAGAGUACCCGAAGAAAAAGCAUCGGCUAACUCCGUGCCAGCAGCCGCGGUAAUACGGAGGAUGCGAGCGUUAUCCGGAUUUAUUGGGUUUAAAGGGUGCGCAGGCGGAGUUUUAAGUAAGCGGUAAAAUCGUGGGGUUCAACCCCAUCCAGCCGUUGAAACUGGGGAUCUAGAGUGUGCGAGAGGUAUGCGGAAUGCGUGGUGUAGCGGUGAAAUGCAUAGAUAUCACGCAGAACCCCGAUUGCGAAGGCAGCAUACCGGUGCACAACUGACGCUCAGGCACGAAAGCGUGGGUAUCGAACAGGAUUAGAUACCCCUGUAGUC
rnacentral:rRNA from 1 species